rnacentral:rRNA from 1 species
GUGGAUUAGAUACCCUGGUAGUCCACGCUGUAAACGUUGUAUACUAGGUGUUAGUGACUUGUUCACUAGUGCCGACGUUAACACAUUAAGUAUACCGCCUGGGGAGUACGGCCGCAAGGCUUAAACUCAAAGAAAUUGACGGGGGCCCGCACAAGCGGUGGAGCAUGUGGUUUAAUUCGAUGAUACGCGAAGAACCUUACCUGGGCUUGAACUGUACCUGACAGGUGUAGAGAUACACUCUUCUUCGGACAGGUAUAGAGGUGCUGCACGGCUGUCGACAACU